rnacentral:tRNA from 1 species
GGCUUUAUAGUCAAUAAUGAUAUUAGAUUGCAAAUCUAAAGGAGUAAAAAAUACUAAGGCUU